AAAGAAAUGAAGUAGGUCACUUGUUGAAGUUGCAAACCAUUUCUAAUGUAUGGUGAUUGGUUCUCUCUCAAAAAUUUCUGGAGGACAAAAAAAUGCUCAGGAAAAAUUUAUGGGGAUUAAGCAUGCAUACAACACAUUACUUAACUCUGAAUCUCGGAGGAAGUAUGGUGCUGGAAAUUCAUAAUCAGGCAUUGGGAUAAGUCAAAGCAGG
rnacentral:misc_RNA from 1 species